CUUGGAAUUCUUCAGGGGUAAAAGGUUUUGAGCUUGGAAUUCUUCAGGUGUAAAGAAUUUUGAGCUUGGAAUUCUUCAGGGGUAAAGGGUUUUGAGCUUGGAAUUCUUCAGGGGUAAAGGGUUUUGAGCUUGGAAUUUUUCAGGGGUAAAGGGUUUUGAGCUUGGAAUUUUGGAAUUCUUCAGGGGUAAAUGGUUUUGAGCUUGGAAUUCUUCAGGGGUAAAGGAUUUUGAGCUUGGAAUUUUGGAAUUCUUCAGGGGUAAAAGGUUUUGAGCUUGGAAUUCUUCAGGGGUAUAACAAUGAAAAACAUGUAUCCUCGACAGGGGGUGUACGGAUAUUAAAUGGAAUAGCCCAUUUGCACUCCGCAGUAAACAAAAAAACACUUUUAAAUUAUUGGCCACCUAGUUUUAGUUGCUGCUCACUACGAGUAAAAAAUCCUUUCAGUACAGCCACUAUUAAAAUUAGAAUGCUAAAUGUCUAGUACAACUAUUUAAUAUACAUGUUCAUGGAACCUCACAACUGUCAAAUGUAGAAACUCGAUCCACUCUCGUCUCGGUCUCUCGAGUAAAAAUUUAAAUUUAAACAAAGGCACAAAACGUGGUUGCAUUGGUUGCCACACUAGAGCCA